UACGUAGGGUGCGAGCGUUGUCCGGAAUUAUUGGGCGUAAAGGGCUCGUAGGCGGUUUGUCGCGUCGGGAGUGAAAUCCACUGGCUUAACUGGUGGCUUGCUUUCGAUACGGGCAGACUGGAGGUAUGCAGGGGAGAACGGAAUUCCUGGUGUAGCGGUGAAAUGCGCAGAUAUCAGGAGGAACACCGGUGGCGAAGGCGGUUCUCUGGCCCGGUACUGACGCUGAGGUGCGAAAGCGUGGGGAGCAAACAGG
rnacentral:rRNA from 1 species